UACGAAGGGGGCUAGCGUUGCUCGGAAUCACUGGGCGUAAAGCGCACGUAGGCGGCUUUUUAAGUCAGGGGUGAAAUCCUGGAGCUCAAACUCCAGAACUGCCUUUGAUACUGAGAAGCUUGAGUCCGGGAGAGGUGAGUGGAACUGCGAGUGUAGAGGUGAAAUUCGUAGAUAUUCGCAAGAACACCAGUGGCGAAGGCGGCUCACUGGCCCGGUACUGACGCUGAGGUGCGAAAGCGUGGGGAGCAAACAGG
rnacentral:rRNA from 1 species